rfam:Brassica napus, WGS project CCCW01000000 data, contig: 4828
GGAAGUUAAGAAACUGUUUCUUAAUUUUUAACUAAAAAAGCUAAGAACGGGUUCUUAAAUAAGGACUUUAAGAACCGGUUCUUAGCCUUUUUAGUUAAAAGUUAAGAAACAGUUUCUUAACUUCC